ACAUGCAAGUCGAGCGGUUAAGGUUUUCCGGACCCUAGGAGCGGGCGAACGGGUGAGUAACGCGUACGAAACCUACCUUUUAAGAGAGGAAUAGCCUGGGAAACUGGGAUUAAUGCCCCAUAGUAUGUAUGAAUCGCAUGGUUUAUAUAUUAAAGUUCCAACGGUAAAAGAUGAGCAUGCGUCCCAUUAGUUAGUUGGUAAGGUAACGGCUUACCAAGACUAUGAUGGGUAGGGGUCCUGAGAGGGAGAUCCCCCACACUGGUACUGAGACACGGACCAGACUCCUACGGGAGGCAGCAGUGAGGAAUAUUGGACAAUGGGCGCAAGCCUGAUCCAGCCAUGCCGCGUGCAGGAAGAAGCAUCUAUGGUGUGUAAACUGCUUUUGUACGGGAAGAAACACUCCUACGUGUAGGAGCUUGACGGUACCGUAAGAAUAAGGAUCGGCUAACUCCGUG
rnacentral:rRNA from 1 species